AUUUAUAUAGUUUAAUAAAAACAUUACAUUUUCAUUGUAAAAUUAAAUAAAAUUAUUUUAUAAAUA
rnacentral:tRNA from 1 species